GCCCGAAUGGUGGAAUGGCAGACACGAAUGACUCAAAAUCAUUUGCCUCUGGCGUGCAGGUUCAAGUCCUGUUUCGGGCACCA
rnacentral:tRNA from 2 species